rnacentral:tRNA from 1 species
GGAAGGUAUGGCUCAGUAGUAGAGUGUAUGCUUAAUAUGCACAAAGUCCUGGGUUCAAUCCCCAGUACCUCCA